rnacentral:rRNA from 1 species
GACGAACGCUGGCGGCGUGCCUAAUACAUGCAAGUCGAACGCGCUCUCGUUUAGAUUGAAGGAGUUUGCUCCUGAUUGAUAAACAUUUGAGUGAGUGGCGGACGGGUGAGUAACACGUGGGUAACCUGCCCUAAAGUGGGGGAUAACAUUUGGAAACAGAUGCUAAUACCGCAUAAAACCUAACACCGCAUGGUGUAGGGUUGAAAGAUGGUUUCGGCUAUCACUUUAGGAUGGACCCGCGGUGCAUUAGUUAGUUGGUGAGGUAAAGGCUCACCAAGACCGUGAUGCAUAGCCGACCUGAGAGGGUAAUCGGCCACACUGGGACUGAGACACGGCCCAGACUCCUACGGGAGGCAGCAGUAGGGAAUCUUCCACAAUGGACGAAAGUCUGAUGGAGCAACGCCGCGUGAGUGAAGAAGGUUUUCGGAUCGUAAAACUCUGUUGUUGGAGAAGAAUGUAUCUGAUAGUAACUGAUCAGGUAGUGACGGUAUCCAACCAGAAAGCCACGGCUAACUACGUG